rnacentral:piRNA from 1 species
UUCUUCAGUGCUGAGAAUGGAAC